rnacentral:rRNA from 1 species
AGUGAACGCUGGCGGUAGGCCUAACACAUGCAAGUCGAACGGCAGCACAGUAAGAGCUUGCUCUUACGGGUGGCGAGUGGCGGACGGGUGAGGAAUACAUCGGAAUCUACUUUUUCGUGGGGGAUAACGUAGGGAAACUUACGCUAAUACCGCAUACGACCUACGGGUGAAAGCAGGGGAUCUUCGGACCUUGCGCGAUUGAAUGAGCCGAUGUCGGAUUAGCUAGGUGGCGGGGUAAAGGCCCACCAAGGCGACGAUCCGUAGCUGGUCUGAGAGGAUGAGCAGCCACACUGGAAGUGAGACACGGUCCAGACUCCUACGGGAGGCAGCAGUGGGGAAUAUUGGACAAUGGGCGCAAGCCUGAUCCAGCCAUACCGCGUGGGUGAAGAAGGCCUUCGGGUUGUAAAGCCCUUUUGUUGGGAAAGAAAAGCAGCAGGUUAAUACCCCGCUGUUCUGACGGUACCCAAAGAAUAAGCACCGGCUAACUUCGUG